AUAAAGGUGUUGAUUAUAUUAUUUGAAAAAAUGAUAUGGUUAAAUGGCUUCCGCUAAAUGUCACAUACAUAACUUAUUUACCACUUUGCGACGCACGUGUUUGAAGCUAACUAUUGACGUCUCCUCUCCUUUUAAAGAUAGUUUAGAAAAGAAAGCUGUUGUUGUGACGAAAAAUGUUCAAAAGCAAGAAAAAUCUCCGAUUUAAAACUUUUAUUAUCCUUUGACUUUAAUAUAGGUAAUUGCUUAGGGAGUCUUCUGUAAAGUCGUUUGAGUGACACACGUGUUUCAAGCAUAAAAUUACGUCUCAACUUUUUCAUUUACGAUGGUCAAGAAAAGAAAACUGUCCAAAAGGUUGGAAACAAUCCAUCGAAAGAGAGUAACCCUUCAAUGUAAUGACUACACAUGAAAUGAGUGAUCAAUUUCAUGUGAUAAAAGCUUUUAUUUUGUAGUACAAACCACUUCUUAGCUAGUACAAAAGGGCAC
rnacentral:lncRNA from 1 species